GUUGCAACUUUGCCCCUUUGAAGUUGCUGCAAUUAGAUAGAAUUCACUCAUCUCCUCGAUACCAGUCCUCGAUCAAUUGUACUCAGAUCUAGAUCGAAUUCAAAAAAAAAAACCCAGUGAAACCUAGAUAGACGAAACUCCAUAGCCAACUUCUGCUCUCUUCGGUCUGCUCCUUCGUCGCGCGCCCAUCGAAAAAGUUUCUUGCCCAUCGGAAAAAGUUUCGUCCCGCGCUCCUUCUCUGCAUCUCUCACCGCCGGUAACACCAUUUGGAGAGAACUGCAAAAAAUGGUCUUCAUAUUCUUCUUGGAGGUGUUUGUGCCUUGGCUGUUGUUGUCUUCUUUUGCCGUCCAGUUUAUGGCUUUGCUUCAGGCAAUCCUUUACGGGGAACACAUGGAUUUUGUUCUACAUUGAGGACACGGAUGUGGACUUCAAAGAUAUAAUUGAAGCUUCUUUACCGAAAGCUCCACUGGAUACAUCAAUCAUGUGCCAUUGGGUAGCAAUAGAAGGGGUGCAACCUGCAAGUCCAGAAAAUGCUCCAGUGCAAGAUCUGCUUUGUUUGCUUGCAUUGCUUGAUCCCGCUUCUCCUAGCGUCUAUGUUCAUCUAUUGUCGGAAGAAGGCUAAUCUUAUGGUAGGAAAUGUUCUUCCUUUGAGAUCUAUUCCUGAAGGAGCUGUUGUUUGUAAUGUUGAACAUCAUGUUGGUGAUCGUGACCCUGAUAAUGAUACCUCUAGGUAUAUCUUCACUUUAUUUUUCAUGUGUUUUUUUUAUUUUUGCCAUGAAUUUGUUUUGUUUUCUAUGGUUUUUUUACAUCUAUGAUUUAGUAAUUAGUUUGUUCUUGGGACGUCUUUGCUUGAUAAUUUGAUUUUUAUAUGGGCGUUUUGAUUGGUAUUGUUUGAGACAUGGUACUUUGAUUUGGAUUAGUGAAGUGAGGUAAAAAUUAGAUCUUUUGUAUAAACUUAGAUAUUUUGAAAUUCUGGGCAAAGGGUCAUCUAAGAUAGCGAAGCAAUUACUCUAUUUUUAGUUUGUGUUUUUGGUCUAGGUUUCAGCUUAAUUUGGACAAAUAAAUCGAUUUAGAUAAUUUGAUAUAUUUAUUGGUAGCUUAAUCUGCAAGAAAAAUUAAAGGAUGUUGUUUUAAUUUGAACACAGUUGAAUGUGCAUAAUAACCAAUUCUAGAAAUUGGGUAUUUCUUAUUUGUCAAGAAUUUGAUCUUUGCACUAAAAUCGAUUCUGGGAAUUGGAUAUUUUUGAUGAGUUUUGAACCUGUUUUGAAAUGUUGAUUACAAAUCAGAAAUUUUAUUUUGUUUCUAUGGAAUAGGAGUAGAUCGAUACAAAUCUAAAUAUGUCUUCCUAUGGGAGUAAAUCAAUGCUCAUGUGUUUUUCCACAUUUCCCCUCUUUUCUUAAAUCAAUACACAAUCCUUUGAUUAAGUUUCUUCAAAUUUUGUUGUUCUUAUUCCACAUAUUUAGGCCAAAUUGAGGCAUUUUCGCUCCCAACUUUGCACUAAAGAACCUAAGGUAUCAUUGGGUUCUUAUCGUCCUUGAUCUUGUCCUUGGCCUAGCAUAUGUGUUUGAUUCGGCCACUCCUCCCCCUCCCGAGACACGGAAGUUAGAAGGGUUCAAUUGUAUACAAAUGUAAGUUGAAUGUACAAACCCAUUACUCAUUAUAUUAUAUCAAUAAAACACAUGCUAUAUUUAAUUUCUUUAUUGAAAGAAUGACAAACGGAAGAUUAAGUCACAAAAGUUACGAUUCAUACAGAUGAAGGUACUAAUUAAAUUUUGUACUCCUUAAAUCUCUUAAUUUGAAAAUAUUUGCUUUGACACAUAUAUACGUGCCUCAUUUGUGUAAAUAGUGUGCUCAACAAGUUGAUGCAGUGGAUAGUGGUUAUUAUGUGAUGAAAUACAUGCAUGAUGUUGUCACACUAUACAAUGAAUACAAGGAUAAUUUGUCUGAGGGUUAUGUACAAAGAGAAAUGCCAUAUUCUGAUGAGGAGUUAGAAGAAACUCGAGAACAAUGGGCAAAGUAUUUUAAGGACAACUAUUUGAUGGAUGCUGGCGAAUGAGUUUGUUGUCUAGUAAUGUUAUGUUUUAUGUUUUUGUUAUGUGUUGGAUAUGACGUUGGAUGCUACUUGGAGCAUAUAUAUGGUUGUUGGAACAUAUAUGUAUGUUAUGUCUUUUA